GGAAUAUUGCGCAAUGGGGGAAACCCUGACGCAGCAACGCCGCGUGAAGGAAGAAGGCCUUCGGGUUGUAAACUUUUGUCCUAUGGGAAGAAUUGAUGACGGUACCAUAGGAGGAAGCCACGGCUAACUACGUGCCAGCAGCCGCGGUAAUACGGAGGAUGCGAGCGUUAUCCGGAUUUAUUGGGUUUAAAGGGUGCGCAGGCGGACGCGCAAGUCUGCGGUCAAAUUCCGGGGCUCAACCCCGGACCGCCGUGGAAACUGUGCGACUAGAGUGGGCGAGAGGCAUGCGGAAUGCGCGGUGUAGCGGUGAAAUGCUUAGAGAUCGCGCAGAACUCCGAUUGCGAAGGCAGCAUGCCGGCGCCUUACUGACGCUCAUGCACGAAAGCGUGGGGAUCGAACAGG
rnacentral:rRNA from 1 species